rnacentral:rRNA from 1 species
AAAACUGCGAAUGGCUCAUUAAAUCAGUUAUCGUUUAUUUGAUAGUACCUUACUACUUGGAUAACCGUGGUAAUUCUAGAGCUAAUACAUGCUAAAAAUCCCGACUUCGGAAGGGAUGUAUUUAUUAGAUUAAAAACCAAUGCCCUUCGGGGCUCACUGGUGAUUCAUAAUAACUUCUCGAAUCGCAUGGCCUUGCGCCGGCGAUGGUUCAUUCAAAUUUCUGCCCUAUCAACUUUCGACGGCUGGGUCUUGGCCAGCCAUGGUGACAACGGGUAACGGAGGGUUAGGGCUCGACCCCGGAGAAGGAGCCUGAGAGACGGCUACUACAUCCAAGGAAGGCAGCAGGCGCGCAAAUUACCCAAUCCCGACACGGGGAGGUAGUGACAAUAAAUACUGAUACAGGGCUCUUUAGGGUCUUGUAAUUGGAAUGAGUACAAUUUAAAUCCCUUAACGAGGAACAAUUGGAGGGCAAGUCUGGUGCCAGCAGCCGCGGUAAUUCCAGCUCCAAUAGCGUAUAUUAAAGUUGUUGCAGUUAAAAAGCUCGUAGUUGAACCUUGGGCCUGGCUGGCCGGUCCGCCUCACCGCGUGCACUGGUCCGGCCGGGUCUUUCCCUCUGGGGAACCGCAUGCCCUUCACUGGGUGUGCUGGGGAACCAGGACUUUUACUUUGAAAAAAUUAGAGUGUUCAAAGCAGGCCUAUGCUCGAAUACAUUAGCAUGGAAUAAUAGAAUAGGACGUGUGGUUCUAUUUUGUUGGUUUCUAGGACCGCCGUAAUGAUUAAUAGGGACAGUCGGGGGCAUCAGUAUUCAAUUGUCAGAGGUGAAAUUCUUGGAUUUAUUGAAGACUAACUACUGCGAAAGCAUUUGCCAAGG